CCUCCAGGCUUUGGGGCAGGCUCACCUAGGCAGAGUAGCUGGGUGUAAUCUCCUCCUUUGCCUUCUGCUUUCUUUUUCUACCGACUGAUGGAGGAACCCGCAGAGCACUUAGAUUUGUUAAGAGGCCACCACAAUAGAGUGCAGAUUCACAGGAAUGCAGCCCUGGGGAAAUGCAGGACAGGGAGGCUGAGUUUUGAUGAGAAUAGGAUGGAGAACUAUCUGGGGAGUUGGAGUUUUGUGGGAGAGGCAAAGCCGAGUUGGGAGUUAUCGUGGGCGGAGAAAUGGGGAAAGGGAAGGGAUCCCGAAAAGUCAAAGAGGAAAUAGGAGCAGGGGUGCCUGGGGAGGUCAUCCCAGCCAGGAGGCCAAGAGGAAAGGCCUGGGGGUGUGGCGGGGAAGAGAGGGGUGCCGAGAGAACCUUCCCCUCGCCCAUAGUCCAGUGCUUAAAAAGUCUUCGAAAUGGCAACUUCUGAACUAAAUCUGACGCUACAGUUAUUGAGUUUAAAUGUCAAAGAAAAAGGAUUCCAUUUUAAUUUCAUUUUCAUAGGCUUCUGCUCUAUGAAUUUUGCAUCAAAAUGUUUUACAUUUCCACUUAUACAAAAUGUAUGAUUGAAUUCAGAAUAAAAAAUGAUAAAUUACAGAGAUACAUGUUAGAUCUCCUAUUCUAACGCCAGCCUAUUAGUUAAGCAAAUUCAGUCUUCAAUUCAAUUCAAAUAGGCAAAUAUUUUCACUAGUAAAAAGCUGAAAUAUAAAUAACUGGCUUAUAUCUAUAGUUUUUUUCCUGGUCAGUUGGUAGGAUAAUUUGCUGUGCAUUUGGUCUCUUUUCAUCAAGAGAAAGCAGUGAGCCUCUAAUUCCCUAUCUAUCACUAUCUCUUCUCCUUUGUCUCGACAAUUUCUUUCUUCAGAAAAACCUCCUUGGGAUGGCUUAGCAGAACGAGGCUUCCAUAGCUAGAUGGGUGUCUUGGCAAUCAUCGAGUUCAACCAUUAUUUCAUUGCAGAUGAAAGGACCAGAGAUUGCUUACUUGCUUGCAGUUACACAGCUAGCUGCUAGCCGACUGUUAGUCACUUAAGAGAGUGUUGUAAUGCCUUUUCGUAGACUUCUGGCGUUUGUUUGGGUAAUUCGUCUUCUGUGCCAGAAUUCCCAGUCCUCCAUCUCUCCUCCCCAGCUCCAGUGUUGCCUCCUCUUAAUUACAACAAGUGUACACACUUGGAACGAACAGAGGCUCUGCCUUUUCUACAAGAAAUGUGAAGACCACGCAGAGAGAUUUAGGGACUAUUUCUAACACAUCAUCUAAAUCAGGUGGGGAAUAUUGGUGUGGAGGAUGCCUGAGAGAAAAAUACAAGAAGGAGAUACUGGACACAGACACCUGCAGAGGGAAGACCAUGUGAAGAUACAGGGAGAAGAUGGCCAUCUGUAAGCCAAACAGAGAAGUCUCAGAAGAAAUCCACCUGCUGGCACCUUGAUCUUGGACUUCUAGCCUCCAGAACGAUAAGAAAACAAAUUUCUGUUGUGUAAGUCACCCAAUCUGUGGUGGGCUGUUACGGCAGCCCUGGAAACUAAUACAGAUGUCCAACUGCAGGAUUCACACUCUUGUAACUACCUCUACAGAUGAGUAAGAUGAGGCCAGGAUGCCCGGCAGGAUUUUUCUGCAAGUCCUCAGCUGCUGAGGGGAGAUCGGGGCCUGCACUUGGCACAGGGAGAGGCCUCUGUCACUCGGCCCUUCUCCAGCCCUGGAAGACUCUUGGAAUGAGUGCCUACACGAUGUACAACCACACCCUAUGAAUCAAUUGGUACCCACAAGACUCCGAAGGAGUUUCACCAAGUCAACUCAAUGAAAAGCUGACACCAAUGGUAUUUAUUCAUUGAUAAUAACGAUGGUGAUUUAAUUUGGGUACAGUCGAUAAAUAUUACUGGUUUAUUUACAUGUCUUUAUCUUGAUUGUAGUCUUGUCGUUGGCAAGGACUAUAAUAAUGUACUCCUUUAUGUAUUCUUUGCUGUCAAUAAAAAAUCUUCAUUACAUGAUAAAAAGAGAAAUUAUCAGCAAUAAUUCAGACAAACAGUGCCCCUGCUUUGGCAUCAGCACAGGGUCGUUUAAUUGGGGCCUCUUGGAAACUCUCUGACUCCCUGUUGACACACUGCCAUCUGGUGGAGCAGGGCCUGUGGACCGCCUUUCACAGUCUGAUGCGCCUGUGUCUUGACAUAUGUUUGUUCCCGUUUCCUGCUGCUUUUCCUGACAGCUGUCCAAAUCCAAGGGUGAGAUCCAUGCAGGUCUAGGUCUUUGCAAAAUACUGCAGGAAGCAACAAUUGUCUUUGAUUUUCUCCUGCUUUGCCUUUCAAUGAUGCUAGCAGCCUGGUGUUCCCUGUUUUUGGAUGAAAACUUGAAUCCCAUUCACCAUAUUAACAUCUCUCUCCCUCCCCCAAAUCCCCUUUAUUUGCAUAGAACUCACAGUUUAGAAAUUUCUUCUGAAACUACUCUCUCAUUUGAUCCUCAAACAGAUUUUUAGAGUAGUCUGGUCUAGAAUAUUACCCUCAUUCAACAGAAAUUUAUUGACUAUUGAUCAUGCUCAAUACUGGCAUCUAGGGGCACAGAGAUGGAAAGACCAGGGCCACCUUAAUCCACUGGGUACACAAGGCCCAGUGCCUGGACUCCACAAUAUUUUUAGGGACCUGUGAAAAUGUUUUAAUCCUUUUAAAAUCAGAACCAAAAAAAUGAACUUUUAGGUGGAAUAAAUAUCACUUGUUAUGAUGUAUGAUCCUUUUAAUGUAUUGUUGAAUUCAGUUAGUAUUUUGUUGAGAAUUUUUUUUUUAAUAAAUUUAUUUAUUUUUGGCUGC